AUGUGCCUGGCUCCCUGUAUGCCACUCAUCUAGAGCAACAGCUCGAUCAGAUUUCUGAUGUUGCCUACGAUGGAUGGCGUGCACGGUGCCAAGCAUGU
rnacentral:pre_miRNA from 1 species